UGUACAUCAAUGGUCCUGGUGGAGACGCGAGUUCCUUAUCAACAUACCUUCUGCAAUCAAAUCAUGCUUCUUUCUCUGUAUUCUUGUUGCUUGUGAGAUAUUUUCCUUUGCUAAAAACUUGCUCGCUGCAGCUUACUCCUAGCAUGGCAAUUUAUGACGACAUGCAGAGCUUAAAGAGUCCUGUCGGCACCCAUUGUGUGGGCUAUGCCUACAAUCUAGUAGCCUUUCUUCUCGCUGCUGGAGAAAAGGUAAUAUCUCUCUCUUUUAGAAUCUGAAUUAAGUGUUGACAGUAUAACAAAUCUCCCUCUCAGGGAUCCAAUGGGCCUAAAAACUGCUGCUCGAUGCUAUAUAUGCCACUAGUGUGGGGGCAUUUUGACUUAAUUUUCACCUAUGAGAUUAAUGAUGAACAAUGGUGGGUAGUCUUUUCUAUUGUGAAACAUGCAAUAAUUACUGAUAAAUCGUACAGAGUAAUCAGGUAAAGAAAAAAAUAAAAAUUGAUAUAGAGAUUUAACGUGAUUUGGUGAUGUGUCUACAUUUAUAGAAAGUAAACAAUUCGAAGUUCACUAUCAAUCAAUUAUAGUUCACUAUCAGUCUACCUACUUUCAGUGUAUGAGUCAUAUACUUCAACACUUUCCCUUUUUCUUCUCUAUUUUAGUAAUAAUAUUGGUUAUUGUGAAAUGCGGAGGGAUGAGACUUUACCAUUGUUCAUAGAACAUAUUUAUAUUUUGUGUAUUAUGUUUGUGCAACGGCGUGAAAGAUGAUUCCUUUGUGUAUUAUGUGAUGUAUCUGGAUGGAAAGGAAUGAGAGGUGUUUUAAUGAUAGAGAAUGUUUUGUAGAUAAUCUCUGGAAAUUUUUUAUGUUUUUCCUGUUUUCUUGGUUUUCAGCCAUUGUUCUUAAUGGUGGGGUAGUCCAUGAGUUUUUAUUUUUGUUUAGCACGUGAAUGUUCUUAGGUGUUUCUUUUGUAUACUUCCUAUAUAUAUGAGCUAUGACUAUUUCAUUCGUUGAAUAAACUUUUUACUUGUAAAAAAAAAAUUUAUAAGUAAAAAUUUUAUUUUGUGUAAUAUGCUAUGAGGCUUAAAACGUGCAUGGAUAGAUAUGGUGGAGAAUGAGAUGUUAACAGGGAGUUAGUCACCUUGAGAGUUCGAUUCAGAUUGAUUAGAAUGGCAAAAAGGAAUACAUGUGGAUAAAUUAUGGGAAUUUGUACAUUGAUCCCAAAGGUUGAGAUUAAGGCAUAUAUAGUUGAGUUGAACCUAAUAUAUAUGCUCUUUAUAUAGAUUGCAUUCUCCUUUUAUAACCUUAUUUCUUGAAAGCCAAAGAUAAUUCUAUGUUUUCUUCCUUGUAUCUAUCUCUAGUUCCUAAUUAGGUGCAUUCUCUUGUGUACUACUUGUGUUCUUGGGCUAUGCGUAUUUUUGUAUUAAUAAAAUUUCUUUUAGUUAUUAAAAAAAAAAAAUGAAUGAUUUCAUUUUUUAAGGGUAACCGCUUUGCAAUGCCUGUGUCAAGAAUUGCACUACAAUCUCCUGCGUGGUCAGGUGUGACGGCAUGCCAACUUUUCAUGCUGAUGACAUUCGUAAUGAAGCAAAUGAGCUUCUGAGCUUCUAGCUCAGAAUCCAUGAUUACAUUUUUAAUGAGUUGGCUACGAAAACGGGCCAGCCUGUGGAGAUUAACAAAGAUUAACAAAGACUUGAGCAGGAUGAAACGCUUUAAUGCUCAGGAGGCUCUUGAAUAUGGAUUAAUUGAACAGAUUGUCAGACAGCCUCGUAUCAAGGCAGAUGCGCUUCCCAAGGAUGCAGGAACGGUGCUUGGUUAGUGUAUCAUGUGCGUUGCUUGAGAUAAUUUCUGUUUGACAUUUCGUAGUGUUUCCCGACUUUAUUUACAGACAGGAUAGAAAUAUUCACUUUGUAGUUAGAAAUAGUCUCAUUAUAUAUAUAUAUAUAUAUAUA